rnacentral:lncRNA from 1 species
AUUGUACUGAAAUUAUUACCAGAUCUUCAAUCAACCUCCCAUCAUGAAAUUUUUCCUGAUUUUGUUGUUGGCUUCUGUUGUAGUGGUAUCUAAUGCUGCUCCCAAACCGGUCUAUGGGAGUACAACCUAUACAGAAACUCAAAGUGGUUAUCCAAUGCAUGGAGGAAUAUCUAGCAGUAGAAUUGUGACUCAUACUGGUCCUGGAAUGUCUGGAUAUGCGCAUGGGGUGCAUGGGAUGGGUGCAGGGCAUAUGAUGGGUUCAACUGGAUACGGAAUGCACGGAGUGCACGGAAAAAAAUAAAGGAAGAAUCAAAAAUGAUGAUCCACCAACUCCGAGACGCACCACUCUUGGAUUUGAUUAAAUUGAAUGGAUUAUUGUUUAAUUUCAAAAUAAAUUGUUGCAAG